rnacentral:tRNA from 1 species
UAGCUCAAGUGGUAGGGCACCUGCCUAGCAAGCAUGAAGUCCUGAGUUCAAUCCUCAG